rnacentral:sRNA from 1 species
AUUGAAGAAAUAAAGUAAUCUGUUCCGAACUACAGAAAAGGGAGUUACAGAACAAAAUCCAAAUCAACUAUUCCUUCAAAUAGAAAAUCAAAUUUCUUUAUAGAAACAAACUGUCAAAUAUCCUGAGCUGAUUCCAGGUGGCAUAUCAUUUUACGAUCCAAAUAAGAAAUAGGAGUUUCAACAAUGCCGAAUCCGAUUCAAAAAUUGUUCCAAUUGAUCUAUAAGAUCUUUCGUUAUCUGUGGCUAGCAUCCGUACUGAUGAUACCGUAUAUGGCCCUGAAAUUGAAGACGUGCGAGGCCAGCAAACUGGACAACUACGUAAUGCUUGGAUGCCUAGCACUGGGCGUCAUCCAGUUGAUAGAGACCCAACGCUUCCGACGACAUUAGGAUGUGGGAGCUGGAGGCCGGCCAGGUUGUUGG